AGAGUUUGAUCAUGGCUCAGGAUGAACGCUAGCUACAGGCUUAACACAUGCAAGUCAGGGGCAGCAUGUCAGUGGCUUGCCACUGAUGAUGGCGACCGGCGCACGGGUGAGUAACGCGUAUCCAACCUUCCCCCAAGUAGGGAAUAGCCCGGCGAAAGUCGGAUUAAUGCCCUAUGUUUUUCCUUAUGUGAGCAUUCUGUGAGGAACAAAGAUUGAUCGCUUGGGGAUGGGGAUGCGUCUGAUUAGAUGGUAGGCGGGGCAACGGCCCACCUAGUCCGCGAUCAGUAGGGGUUCUGAGAGGAAGGUCCCCCACAUUGGAACUGAGACACGGUCCAAACUCCUACGGGAGGCAGCAGUGAGGAAUAUUGGUCAAUGGCCGGGAGGCUGAACCAAGCCAAGUAGCGUGCGGGAUGACGGCCCUAUGGGUUGUAAACCGCUUUUGCCGGGGAAUAAAGUGGCCCACGCGUGGGUUUUUGCAUGUACCCGGAGAAUAAGGACCGGCUAAUUCCGUGCCAGCCGCCGC
rnacentral:rRNA from 1 species